AUUGAACGCUGGCGGCAUGCCUUACACAUGCAAGUCGAACGGUAACAGGUCUUCGGAUGCUGACGAGUGGCGAACGGGUGAGUAAUGCAUCGGAACGUAUCCCGUAGUGGGGGACAACGCCGCGAAAGCGGCGCUAAUACCGCAUAUGCUCUACGGAGGAAAGUGGGGGACUGCAAGGCCUCACGCUAUGGGAGCGGCCGAUGUCCGAUUAGCUAGUUGGUGGGGUAAUGGCCCACCAAGGCGACGAUCGGUAGCUGGUCUGAGAGGAUGAUCAGCCACACUGGGACUGAGACACGGCGCAGACUCCUACGGGAGGCAGCAGUGGGGAAUUUUGGACAAUGGGGGCAACCCUGAUCCAGCCAUGCCGCGUGCGGGAAGAAGGCCUUCGGGUUGUAAACCGCUUUUAGUCGGGAAGAAAAGGCAUCUCCUAAUACGGGGUGUUCUUGACGGUACCGGCGGAAUAAGCACCGGCUAACUACGUGCCAGCAGCCGCCGUAAGAC
rnacentral:rRNA from 1 species